UGGCGGACGGGUGAGUAAUGUCUGGGAAACUGCCUGAUGGAGGGGGAUAACUACUGGAAACGGUAGCUAAUACCGCAUAAUGUCGCAAGACCAAAGAGGGGGACCUUCGGGCCUCUUGCCAUCGGAUGUGCCCAGAUGGGAUUAGCUUGUUGGUGGGGUAACGGCUCACCAAGGCGACGAUCCCUAGCUGGUCUGAGAGGAUGACCAGCCACACUGGAACUGAGACACGGUCCAGACUCCUACGGGAGGCGCAUG
rnacentral:rRNA from 1 species